rnacentral:rRNA from 1 species
GUCGAACGAGAGAAGAGAAGCUUGCUUUUCUGAUCUAGUGGCGGACGGCCGUGUAACACGUGAGCAAUCUGCCUUUCAGAGGGGGAUACCGCUUGGAAACGAUCGUUAAUACCGCAUAACAUAAUUGAACCGCAUGAUUUGAUUAUCAAAGAUUUAUCGCUGAAAGAUGAGCUCGCGUCUGAUUAGCUAGUUGGUAAGGUAACGGCUUACCAAGGCGACGAUCAGUAGCCGGACUGAGAGGUUGAUCGGCCACAUUGGGACUGAGACACGGCCCAGACUCCUACGGGAGGCAGCAGUGGGGAAUAUUGCACAAUGGAGGAAACUCUGAUGCAGCGAUGCCGCGUGAGGGAAGAAGGUUUUAGGAUUGUAAACCUCUGUCUUCAGGGACGAAAAAAGACGGUACCUGAGGAGGAAGCUCCGGCUAACUACGUGCCAGCAGCCGCGGUAAUACGUAGGGAGCGAGCGUUGUCCGGAAUUACUGGGUGUAAAGGGAGCGUAGGCGGGAUCGCAAGUCAGAUGUGAAAACUAUGGGCUUAACCCAUAAACUGCAUUUGAAACUGUGGUUCUUGAGUGAAGUAGAGGUAAGCGGAAUUCCUAGUGUAGCGGUGAAAUGCGUAGAUAUUAGGAGGAACAUCAGUGGCGAAGGCGGCUUACUGGGCUUUAACUGACGCUGAGGCUCGAAAGCGUGGGGAGCAAACAGGAUUAGAUACCCUGGUAGUCCACGCCGUAAACGAUGAUUACU